rnacentral:snRNA from 1 species
GUGGCUCGCCUUCGGACAAGCCACAUAUACAUAAUAACAAUUGGAUAUAGGAGAAGAUUACCAUGGCCCCUGUGCAAGAAUGACUCGCAAAUUCGUGAAGCGUUUCAUAUUUUU